rnacentral:rRNA from 1 species
CCUGACGCAGCGACGCCGCGUGGAGGAUGAAGGUCUUCGGAUUGUAAACUCCUGUUGCUCGGGACGAAAAGCCUCGACCUAACACGUCGAGGUCUGACGGUACCGAGUGAGGAAGCCCCGGCUAACUCUGUGCCAGCAGCCGCGGUAAUACAGAGGGGGCAAGCGUUGUUCGGAAUUACUGGGCGUAAAGGGCGCGUAGGCGGCCCGCUAAGUCGAACGUGAAAUCCCCGAGCUCAACUCGGGAACUGCGUCCGAUACUGGUGGGCUUGAAUCCGGGAGAGGGAUGCGGAAUUCCAGGUGUAGCGGUGAAAUGCGUAGAUAUCUGGAGGAACACCGGUGGCGAAGGCGGCAUCCUGGACCGGCAUUGACGCUGAGGCGCGAAAGCUAGGGGAGCAAACGGGAUUAGAUACCCCGGUAGUCCUAGCCCUAAACGAUGAAUGCUUGGUGUGGCGGGUAUCGAUCCCUGCCGUGCCGAAGCUAACGCAUUAAGCAUUCCGCCUGGGGAGUACGGUCGCAAGGCUG